rnacentral:rRNA from 1 species
CUGAUUAUAUUAAAGGGCCGCAGUAUUCUAACUGUGCAAAGGUAGCAUAAUAAUUAGUCUUUUAAUUGAAGGCUUGUAUGAAUGAUUGGACGAGAUAUAAACUGUCUUAAUUAAAUUUUUAAAAUUUUAUUUUUUAGUUAAAAAGCUAAAAUAUUUUUAAAAGACGAGAAGACCCUAUAGAUCUUGAUAUUAAUUUUAUUAUUAUUUUUUUUUGAUAUAUUUUGAUGAUAGUAGUGUUAAUAUUUUAUUGGGGUGAUAUUGAAAUUUAAUAAACUUUCAAUUAAUUGUUUAUAUCAUUAAUUUAUGAAUUGUUGAUCCAUUAUUAUUGAUUAAAAAUUUAAGUUACCUUAGGGAUAACAGCGUAAUUAUUUUGGAGAGUUCAUAUCGAUAAAAUAGAUUGCGACCUCGAUGUUGGAUUAAGAUUAAUCUUAGGCGCAGCCGUUUAAGGUAUUAAGUCUGUUCGACUUUUAAUUUCUUACAUGAU